rnacentral:rRNA from 2 species
UUUAAAAUUUUUUUUUUUUUUCUGCUCAGGACGAACGCUGGCGGCGUGCUAAUACAUGCAAGUCGAACGCACUGACGUCGACCGAAGCUGCUUGCAGUGGACGUUGAUUGACGUGAGUGGCGGACGGGUGAGUAACACGUGGGUAACCUACCCUUAAGUGGGGGAUAACAUUUGGAAACAGAUGCUAAUACCGCAUAACCAUUCAGACCACAUGGUCUGAAUGUAAAAGACGGCCUUUGGCUGUCACUUUUGGACGGACCCGCGGCGUAUUAGUUAGUUGGUAAGGUAACGGCUUACCAAGACAAUGAUACGUAGCCGACCUGAGAGGGUAAUCGGCCACAUUGGGACUGAGACACGGCCCAAACUCCUACGGGAGGCAGCAGUAGGGAAUCUUCCACAAUGGACGAAAGUCUGAUGGAGCAACGCCGCGUGAGUGAAGAAGGUUUUAGGAUCGUAAAACUCUGUUGUUGGAGAAGAACAGGGACUAGAGUAACUGUUAGUCCUUUGACGGUAUCCAACCAGAAAGCCACGGCUAACUACGUGCCAGCAGCCGCGGUAAUACGUAGGUGGCAAGCGUUGUCCGGAUUUAUUGGGCGUAAAGCGAGCGCAGGCGGUUUUUUAAGUCUGAUGUGAAAGCCUUCGGCUUAACCGAAGAAGUGCAUUAGAAACUGGGAAACUUGAGUGCAGAAGAGGACAGUGGAACUCCAUGUGUAGCGGUGAAAUGCGUAGAUAUAUGGAAGAACACCAGUGGCGAAGGCGGCUGUCUGGUCUGUAACUGACGCUGAGGCUCGAAAGUAUGGGGAGCGAACAGGAUUAGAUACCCUGGUAGUCCAUACCGUAAACGAUGAAUGCUAAGUGUUGGAGGGUUUCCGCCCUUCAGUGCUGCAGCUAACGCAUAAGCAUUCCGCCUUG